UACGUAGGGUGCGAGCGUUGUCCGGAAUUAUUGGGCGUAAAGAGCUCGUAGGCGGUCUGUCGCGUCGAUCGUGAAAACUUGGGGCUUAACCCUGAGCUUGCGGUCGAUACGGGCAUGACUGGAGUUCGGCAGGGGAGACUGGAAUUCCUGGUGUAGCGGUGAAAUGCGCAGAUAUCAGGAGGAACACCGGUGGCGAAGGCGGGUCUCUGGGCCGAUACUGACGCUGAGACGCGA
rnacentral:rRNA from 1 species